CGGGUGGGGGGCGGCGGCUAACACAUGCAGUCGAGCGGAUGAGGGUAGCUUGCUACCUGAUUCAGCGGCGGACGGGUGAGUAAUGCCUAGGAAUCUGCCCGGUAGUGGGGGACAACGUUUCGAAAGGAACGCUAAUACCGCAUACGUCCUACGGGAGAAAGUGGGGGAUCUUCGGACCUCACGCUAUCGGAUGAGCCUAGGUCGGAUUAGCUAGUUGGUGAGGUAAUGGCUCACCAAGGCGACGAUCCGUAACUGGUCUGAGAGGAUGAUCAGUCACACUGGAACUGAGACACGGUCCAGACUCCUACGGGAGGCAGCAGUGGGGAAUAUUGGACAAUGGGCGAAAGCCUGAUCCAGCCAUGCCGCGUGUGUGAAGAAGGUCUUCGGAUUGUAAAGCACCUUAAGUUGGGAGGAAGGGCAGUAAGUUAAUACCUUGCUGUUUUGACGUUACCAACAGAAUAAGCACCGGCUAACUUCGUGCCAGCAGCCGCGGUAAUACGAAGGGUGCAAGCGUUAAUCGGAAUUACUGGGCGUAAAGCGCGCGUAGGUGGUUCAGCAAGUUGGAUGUGAAAGCCCCGGGCUCAACCUGGGAACUGCAUCCAAAACUACUGAGCUAGAGUACGGUAGAGGGUGGUGGAAUUUCCUGUGUAGCGGUGAAAUGCGUAGAUAUAGGAAGGAACACCAGUGGCGAAGGCGACCACCUGGACUGAUACUGACACCGAGGUGCGAAAGCGUGGGGAGCAAACAGGAUUAGAUACCCUGGUAGUCCACGCCGUAAACGAUGUCAACUAGCUGUUGGGUUCCUUGAGAACUUAGUAGCGCAGCUAACGCGAUAAGUUGACCGCCUGGGGAGUACGGCCGCAAGGUUAAAACUCAAAUGAAUUGACGGGGGCCCGCACAAGCGGUGGAGCAUGUGGUUUAAUUCGAAGCAACGCGAAGAACCUUACCUGGCCUUGACAUGCUGAAGAACUUUCCAGAGAUGGAUUGGUGCCUUCGGGAACCUCAGACACAGUG
rnacentral:rRNA from 1 species